AUGCUCAAUUUGGCAGCACAUAUCCUAAAACUAGGAACAAUACAAACAAGACUAGUAUGGCCCCUGUGUAAGGAUAACUUAUAAAUGUGCAAAGUAUUCUUUAUAUUA
rnacentral:snRNA from 1 species